rnacentral:misc_RNA from 1 species
GAUGAAGAACGCAGCGAAAUGCGAUACGUAAUGUGAAUUGCAGAAUUCAGUGAAUCAUCGAGUCUUUGAACGCACAUUGCGCCCGCCAGUAUUCUGGCGGGCAUGCCUGUCUGAGCGUCAUUUCAACCCUCAUGCCCCUAGGGCGUGGUGUUGGGGAUCGGCCAAAGCCCGCGAGGGACGGCCGGCCCCUAAAUCUAGUGGCGGACCCGUCGUGGCCUCCUCUGCGAAGUAGUGAUAUUCCGCAUCGGAGAGCGACGAGCCCCUGCCGUUAAACCCCCAACUUUCCAAGGUUGACCUCAGAUCAGGUAGGAAUACCCGCUGAACUUAAGCAUAUCAAUAAGCGGAGGA